rnacentral:rRNA from 1 species
CAAUAGCGUAUAUUAAAGUUGUUGCAGUUAAAAAGCUCGUAGUUGGAUUUCUGGUAGGAGUGACCGUUCCGAACUUGAUUGUUCGUGUAUUGUGUUUUCUCCAGCCAUCCUUGUGGAGAACUUUUCUUGCAUUAAUUUGUAGGGAUUGGGACCCGCAUCGUUUACUGUGAAAAAAUUAGAGUGUUUAAAGCAGGCAAUCGCUUGAAUACAUUAGCAUGGAAUAAUAAGAUAGGACUUUGGUACUAUUUUGUUGGUUUGCAUACCAAAUUAAUGAUCAACAGGAACAGUUUGAGGAUAUUCGUAUGAACAUGUCAGAGGUGAAAUUCUUGGAUUUUGAUCAGACGAACUACUGCGAAAGCAUUUAUCAAGGAUGGUUUCAUUAA